UAUUGCGCAAUGGAGGAAACCCUGAUGCAGCGACGCCGCGUGAGUGAAGAAGUAUUUCGGUAUGUAAAGCUCUAUCAGCAGGGAAGUAAAUGACGGUUCCUGAUUAAGAAGCCCCGGCUAACUACGUUCCAGCAGCCGCGGUAAUACGUAGGGGGCAAGCGUUAUCCAGAUUUACUGGGUGUAAAGGGAGCGUAGACGGUGAUGCAAGUCAGAAGUGAAAGCCCGGGGCUCAACUCCGGGACUGCUUUUGAAACUGUGUGACUAGAGUGCAGGAGAGGUAAGCGGAAUUCCUGGUGUAGCGGUGAAAUGCGUAGAUAUCAGGAGGAACACCAGUGGCGAAGGCGGCUUGCUGGACUGUAACUGACGUUGAGGCUCGAAAGCGUGGGGAGCAAAC
rnacentral:rRNA from 1 species